AUGAUCCCAAUAAUGGCUUUUGUAGAGGCAGGGGAAGGAAUGCUUGGGAUGUUUACUCUUGUGAGUCGAAUUGAUAAUGACAGGCAUUACCUCCACUAUACCAAGUUGCAGAAAGAUGGAGAUGGUGCAAACAAGUGGCAAUCUGUGGCGGUAAUCUCCUUGCCCUUGCAUUAUCGAUAUACAAUCAUGGGUGUAGCUGGGGGAUACUUACUCCUGCAAGGGAUUCCAGAAGACAUGCUUUCGACCCCUUUGCCGCUGAUGUCUACUACACAACCUUCUUCUUGUAGACUUUGUUGGGCCUCCAAGUGCAGAGGAGGCGUAGGAUGA
rnacentral:rRNA from 1 species